rnacentral:rRNA from 1 species
UACGGAGGGGGCGAGCGUUGUCCGAAGUUACUGGGCGUAAAGCGCGCGUAGGCGGGGCGGAAAGUCCGCUGUGAAAGCCCGAGGCUUAACCUCGGCGGGUCGGUGGAUACUUCCGUCCUUGAAGGUGCUAGGGGGAGAUGGAAUUACCGGUGUAGCGGUGAAAUGCGUAGAUAUCGGUAGGAACACCAGUGGCGAAGGCGGUCUCCUGGGGCAUUCUUGACGCUGAGGCGCGAAAGCUGGGGGAGCGAACGGG